rnacentral:rRNA from 1 species
UACGGGGGGGGCAAGCGUUGUUCGGAAUUACUGGGCGUAAAGGGCGCGUAGGCGGUUUGCUAAGUUGAAUGUGAAAACUCUGGGCUUAACCCAGAGCCUGCAUUCAAUACUGGCAGGCUAGAGUUCUGGAGGGGAUAGCGGAAUUCCUGGUGUAGCGGUGAAAUGCGUAGAUAUCAGGAGGAACACCGGUGGCGAAGGCGGCUAUCUGGACAGAGUCCGACGGCUGAGGCGCGAAAGCUAGGGGAGCAAACGGG